GGGAAAGCCCGGCGCAAGCAAGGUAGGAGUCGUACUGGCAAAUCCGUACGGCAAUCCGAAGAUGUGAUGCGUACCGAAUUAAGAGUAGGGAAGAGUGUGAGCCAUGCGUCAAGAAAAGCCGCUAUUGUUUGUAUCGCGCCCGUACCGUAAACCGACACAGGUGGAUGAGGAGAGAAUCCUAAGGCCGACGGGAGAAGCAUUGUUAAGGAACUCGGCAAAAUGACUCCGUAACUUCGGGAGAAGGAGUGCCACUGAGAGGUGGCCGCAGAGAAUUGGCCCAAGCAACUGUUUAGCAAAAACACAGGUCUAUGCAAAACCGAAAGGUGAAGUAUAUGGGCUGACGCCUGCCCGGUGCUGGAAGGUUAAGGGGAGAGGUUAGCGCAAGCGAAGCUUUGAACUUAAGCCCCAGUAAACGGCGGCCGUAACGAUAACGGUCCUAAGGUAGCGAAAUUCCUUGUCGGGUAAGUUCCGACCCGCACGAAAGGCGUAAUGAUUUGGGCACUGUCUCAACAAUGCACCCGGUGAAAUUGAAAUACCAGUGAAGAUGCUGGUUACCUGCGCCAGGACGGAAAGACCCCAUGGAGCUUUACUCCAGCUUGAUACUGGGAUUCGGUAUUGCAUGUACAGGAUAGGUGGGAGGCUAAGAAGCGGUAACGCCAGUUGCCGUGGAGCUGCUGUUGGGAUACCACCCUUGCAGUACUGGGUUUCUAACCAGCGGCCUUAAACAGGUCGGGGGACAAUGUCAGGUGGGGAGUUUGACUGGGGCGGUCGCCUCCGAAAGGGUAUCGGAGGCGCUCAAAGGUUCCCUCAGAAUGGUCGGAAACCUUUCGAAGAGUGCAAAGGCAGAAGGGAGCUUGACUGCGACACCGACGGGUGGAGCAGGUACGAAAGUAGGACUUAGAGAUCCGGUGGUAUAAAGUGGGAUUGCCAUCGCUCAUCGGAUAAAAGCUACCCUGGGAUAACAGGCUUAUCACUCCCAAGAGUUCACAUCGACGGAGUGGUUUGGCACCUCGAUGUCGGCUCAUCGCAUCCUGGGGCUGAAGUAGGUCCCAAGGGUUGGGCUGUUCGCCCAUUAAAGCGGUACGCGAGCUGGGUUCAGAACGUCGUGAGACAGUUCGGUCCCUAUCCGGCGUGGGCGUAGGAUAUUUGAGAGGAGCUGUCCUUAGUACGAGAGGACCGGGAUGGACUGGCCGCUGGUUGAUCUGUUGUUCCGCCAGGAGCAUAGCAGAGUAGCCAAGCCGGGACGAGAUAAACGCUGAAGGCAUCUAAGCGUGAAGCCCCCCUCAAGAUGAGAUAUCCCAACGAAAGUUGUAAGACCCCUUGAAGACGACGAGGUAGAUAGGACAGAGGUGGAAGUGUGGUAACACAUGGAGCUGACUGUUACUAAUAGGUCGAGGGCAUAACCAU
rnacentral:rRNA from 1 species